GACGAACCGAGCGAACGUUAUUCGGAAUCACUGGGCUUAAAGGGCGCGUAGGCGGACCAUCAAGUCAGGGGUGAAAUCCCACGGCUCAACCGUGGAAGAGCCUUUGAUACUGGCGGUCUUGAGGGAGGUAGGGGCGUGCGGAACUUCCGGUGGAGCGGUGAAAUGCGUAGAUAUCGGAAGGAACACCGGUGGCGAAAGCGGCACGCUGGACCUCUUCUGACGCUGAGGCGCGAAAGCUAGGGGAGCAAACGGG
rnacentral:rRNA from 1 species